GCAACCGGUGUGGUGGAUGGCAACGUAGCACGGGUGCUGUGCCGUGUCCGAGCCAUUGGUGCUGAUCCCAGCAGCACCCUUGUUUCCCAGCAGCUCUGGGGUCUAGCCCAGCAGCUGGUGGACCCAGCCCGGCCAGGAGAUUUCAACCAAGCAGCCAUGGAGCUAGGGGCCACAGUGUGUACCCCACAGCGCCCACUGUGCAGCCAGUGCCCUGUGGAGAGCCUGUGCCGGGCACGCCAGAGAGUGGAGCAGGAACAGCUCUUAGCCUCAGGGAGCCUGUCGGGCAGUCCUGACGUGGAGGAGUGUGGGUUCGGGGAUCUCCGUUCCCAGCUCCCAACACUGGACAGUGCCACCUGUGCCUGCCUCCCUCGGAGCCCUGGGACCAGACCCUGGGAGUGGUCAACUUCCCCAGAAAGGCCAGCCGCAAGCCCCCCAGGGAGGAGAGCUCUGCCACCUGUGUUCUGGAACAGCCUGGGGCCCUUGGGGCCCAAAUUCUGCUGGUGCAGAGGCCCAACUCAGGUCUGCUGGCAGGACUGUGGGAGUUCCCGUCCGUGACCUGGGAGCCCUCAGAGCAGCUUCAGCGCAAGGCCCUGCUGCAGGAACUACAGCGUUGGGCUGGGCCCCUCCCAGCCACGCACCUCCGGCACCUUGGGGAGGUUGUCCACACCUUCUCUCACAUCAAGCUGACAUAUCAAGUAUAUGGGCUGGCCUUGGAAGGGCAGACCCCAGUGACCACCGUACCACCAGGUGCUCGCUGGCUGACGCAGGAGGAAUUUCACACCGCAGCUGUUUCCACCGCCAUGAAAAAGGUUUUCCGUGUGUAUCAGGGCCAACAGCCAGGGACCUGUAUGGGUUCCAAAAGGUCCCAGGUGUCCUCUCCGUGCAGUCGGAAAAAGCCCCGCAUGGGCCAGCAAGUCCUGGAUAAUUUCUUUCGGUCUCACAUCUCCACUGAUGCACACAGCCUCAACAGUGCAGCCCAGUGACACCUCUGAAAGCCCCCAUUCCCUGAGAAUCCUG
rnacentral:lncRNA from 1 species